rnacentral:lncRNA from 1 species
UGGAAAGAUUUACCUUGUGAUAACUCAGAAGCGAAAUGGGCUACAUCAGUAAGGAUAUUUGCUAUCAACACUGCAGCUGUCACACAAGAACUGGCAACCUACAGGGAUAUAUAUUUGAGGAGAAAAAAGGUCAUAAAUGAAAACAGGAAGGUGUUAUAAAACUAUCCCAUUUAACACUGGAGUUGGAAGGGGAAACUGAUAUGGAGCGAGAUAGAGGAGAUGUGCAUGGGGUGCAUGGGCCGCGUCCUGUUAUCGUGUAUCAAAGGAGGUCGAAGAAGGCGUGAGUUUGGGCUGGAGGUCUACGUUCGUGGGCCUGGUUAUAUUAGAUAGAAUUAUGUUAUUUUAUUUAUAUAAUUGUAAUGGGUCGAGCAAUGCUCCUUUACGGGUUUUCUUGUUGGUUUCCGUAUCGUAUUAAGAGAGUCGAACCAACCCUAGGGUGGGAGAAUUAUAUAAAUAGGGAUUCUUUCUUCAAUAAAGGUACGGAAGAAUUAUUUUAGCCUGGUGGCUGGCGGCCUAGGCCGAGGAUCGUGUUUCUUCUCUUUAUUUUCUAUUCUCAAAUUCCGCUCUUAACAAUUGGUCCGACCUGCCGGAUCCCAACCUCACGCCAUGACGAUUAGAGACGUGUCAGAUCGAUUGGAGGCUAUCGAAAAAGAUAGGGAGAUGGUGCAGGCCGAGUUCAAGGUCGUGCAUGAGAGCCUCGCCGCACUCACCGCAUCAAUAUCUGCGGUCAUGAAGGAGAUGAAGAAUCGGCCGGGAUCGUCGACGGACGGCCGGGGGUCGAAGACGUCGACGGAGAGGAAUCACCGAAGGGGAGCAGCCACGGGAACAAGAGGGAGACGGAGGAGCCCAGGCGCACGGUCCCGCUGCCUACGUUCGAUGGGACCGACCCUAUUGGAUGGCUAGCCCGUGCGAAUCAGCAGUUCGAAAUUGCCGAGACGCCAAACGAGUUGAGAGUUGCUGCGGCGAUGGUAGCGAUGGAGGGGAUGCAUUAUAUUGGCUGACAUGGCAACGCUACCGAAAACCGAAUAUGUCGUGGGCGGAUUUUUCGGAGAGUUUAGUGGCGCAGUUUGAUACGAGAUUUCAAGGCGAUAUUUUUGAGAGAUUGGCUGACAUCCAACAAACCGGUACCGUGGCUGAAUAUACCUCGUUGUUCCUGCAGCUAUCAAGCCAGGCGCCCUCUCUACCUGAUAAUCAGUACCUUGGAUACUUUAUGAAGGGUUUGAAGUCCCAGGUCCGGGCCUAUCUGCGCGUCCUCCGACCAGCAGACUUGGAGACGGCAAUGAUCUUGGCUCGAGAUGUCGAGGCGAAUUUGGGGUUCUUGGGAGGGAACAGACAGAGUCAGGUUUCAUGGAGCUCAGCGUCGAAGCCCUCCAGCUGGUCGAAGAGUGGGAGCUCAGGUUGGUCGGGGAGCGGGGGAACUAAUCAGCGCAGUACUAUCGGAGGUGGACAGGGACGCUACGGGGAGAAAACUAUCACGUCCGGGCCGUCGGCCGCAAACUCACAAGGUUCGCAAACCCCACAGAGACCGCGCUUCACGCGGUUGUCGCAGCAAGAGUUGGCGGAGUUAAAAGCUAAAGGACUAUGUUUUCGAUGCCGACGGCCGUACUCACCGGGUCAUGAGUGUCCGCUGAAGCAGCUACGCGUGAUGCUCGUAGAAGAAGGAGAGGAUAUGGCGGUGAAGCAACAUGAAUAUUAUCAACCCACCGGGCUAGAGGAGAUCGAGGACGACGAGGCGGAGGAGGAAGAAAAGGCUGCGGAUCUGCCCCUUUGCUCAAUGGCGGGUUUAGAUUCUCCACGCACGAUGAGACUGCAGGGGAGCUUGGGGUACCGACCCAUCGUGGUGAUGAUAGAUAAUGGCGCUAGCCAUAAUUUCGUGUCGCAGGAAUUAGCACAGGAGCAGGGUCUGCCGAUCAGUCGGGGAGAGAGAUUUGGGGUGCUGUUAGGCGACGGAAGCCGGGCCGAAUCUGCGGGGGCAUGUUAUGGAGUGAGGGUGGAGUUGGCUGGCUGUAGUUUCCUCAUUGACUGCUUCGUGUUUCAGCUGGGAGGGGUCGAUUUAAUUCUCGGCAACACGUGGCUUUCUACACUGGGAGAGGUUCGGCAUAAUUACGAAAGUAUGAUAAUGAAGUUCACAUGGAAUGGGAAGGCGGUGGAACUCAGGGGGGGAUCCUCAACUAUGCCGGGGGCCGAUGCGAAUGAAGGCAUUAGUCCGCGAGGGGGAGGACUCGCAGUCUUUGGGCUGUAGUGGAGGAGCACGCCGGAGCGCGCCUGACUGCGGCUGUGCCCGAAUUAUUGGAGGAUAUUUUGAAUCGUUAUUCGGAAGUGUUUGGGGAACCACAGGAGCUGCCACCGAGUAGACCUCACGAUCACCGGAUUAACCUGAACCCGGGGACUCAAGCGGUUUCAGUUCGCCCCUACCGCUACGGGCACCAUCAGAAAGGCGAAAUUGAGCGACUCGUGCGUGAUAUGCUGACUGCGGGAAUUAUUCGCCCGAGUACGAGCGCAUUCUCCAGCCCCGUUUUCUCGUCAAAAAGAAGGAUGGUAGCUGGAGGUUUUGUGUGGAUUAUCGCGAGCUUAACAAGGUGACGAUUCCGGAUAAAUACCCCAUUCCGGUCAUACAAGAAAUGCUUGAUGAAUUAGCUGGAGCGGUCAUUUUUUCAAAGAUAGAUUUGCGAUCCGGUUACCACCAAAUCCGAGUGUCAGCCGAGGACAUACCAAAGACUGCUUUCCGUACUCACAGUGGCCACUAUGAGUUCUUGGUCAUGCCAUUCGGAUUGACGAACGCCCCUGCCACCUUCCAGUCAACGAUGAACGACAUUUUUCGCCCACACCUGAGGAAAUUCGUGCUCGUAUUCUUCGACGACAUCUUGAUUUAUAGUCGCUCGAACGAGGAGCACCGCCUACACGUCGAAUGUGUGCUAUCUAUAUUGACGGAGAAUCAGUUCGUGGCGAAUUUGAAGAAAUGCUCCUUCGGCUGCCAACAAGUGGAAUACCUCGGGCACAUUAUUUCGGAAAAGGGGGUCGCUAUGGACCCCACCAAAAUUGCGGCAGUUGUGGAGUGGCCAAGACCCAAAUCGGCGAGGGAAGUUCGGGGAUUCUUGGGCCUCACGGGGUAUUAUCGAAGGUUCGUGUGGGAUAUGGGCUAAUCGCGAGACCGCUGAUGGAGUUACUAAAGAAGGAAGUAGCAGCCAAGAAGUUCGAGUGGUCCGCAUCAGCUGAAGCGGCAUUUCAGCACUUAAAGAAAAUCAUGACGGAGGCCCCCGUCCUUGCUUUACCACAGUUUGAUAAGCAAUUCAUUGUGGAAUGCGACGCUUCAGGUUCCGGUGUCGGGGCGGUGCUGAUGCAAGAACGGAGACCCAUUGCUUAUUUCAGCAAAGCACUAUCGGGCCGCACGGUGUCCAGAUCGGCGUACGAGCGCGAGAUGAUGGGCUUGGUCAUGGCGGUGCAGCACUGGAGACCAUAUCUGCUUGGGCAGCGAUUCAUCGUCCGCACCGACCAUCGAAGUCUGAAGCAUUUGUUGUAUCAGAAAAUUGUUACUCCUGCACAACAAGUUUGGGUGGCUCGGCUAUUGGGUUAUGACUUCGAGAUCGAGUACAAGACGGGUAGCUCGAAUGCAGCCGCCGAUGCCCUUUCGCGCAUGCCCGGACACGCGAAGUUUCGAGCCAUGAGCCAAGCGGAAUGGGUGAAUAGCUCUGACAUCGUGAAGGAACAGGAGGAAGACGAGUAUGUCAAGCUUAUUCGCAAGGAUAUCCUAGCGCAGCCGGGUACCCGACCCGGAUUUCAGAUGGUGGAGGGCCGGCUCUUCUACAAGAAUCGACUAGUGCUGCCAGCAGACUCUACUUGGAUUCCCACGCUGUUGCACGAGUUCCAUGAUACGCCGUCGGGAGGGCACGCCGGGGUGUAUAGAACGUAUCGUCGCAUCGCUAGCAGCAUCUAUUGGAAAGGCAUGUUCCAAAGGGUGAAAGAUUAUGUGGCUAACUGCUUAAUCUGUCAGAAGAUGAAAUAUGAAGCUAUGUCACCGGCUGGACUUCUUCAACCGCUCCCAAUUCCGGAGCACAUUUGGGAGGACAUUUCCAUGGAUUUCAUCACGUGCCUUCCUAAGUCGAAGGGGUUCUCGGUAAUCUUGGUGGUUGUGGACCGAUUAUCUAAGUACGCCCAUUUCUUGUCCUUGAAACCUCCGAUCUCAGCUCGGGCCGUGGCGGAAAUAUUUAUACGGGAUGUGGUUCGUUUGCAUGGCAUUCCCAAAUCCAUAGUAAGCGAUCGGGACUCCAUGUUCAUGAGCUCGUUUUGGAAGGAACUUUUUGCUCAAUCGGGAACACAGUUGAAGUUUAGUACGGCGUAUCAUCCCGAAACAGAUGGGCAAACGGAGGUUGUGAAUAGAGUGUUAGAGACAUAUUUGCGCUGUUUCACAUGUGAGCAUCCGAAGCAAUGGGUUCGUUGGAUGGCAUGGGCAGAAUUUUGGUAUAAUACAUCAUACCAAACAGCCGCGAAAAUGACUCCGUUUGAGAUCGUGUAUGGGCGCCCUCCUCCAACACUGAAGAGAUUUUUGCCGGGGGAGUGUCGGGUGGCUGCGGUGGUUGAUACGUUGUGUAGUAGAGACGAGGUGCUCCGGCAGCUGCGCGAAAAUCUUCUCCGAGCGCAGCAAGUCAUGGUGCAGCAGGCAAAUAAGCACCGCCGAGAGGUUCAGUUCGACGUCGGCGAUUGCGUAUUUCUGAAAGUCAGGCCAUUCCGCCGUCAGUCGCUACAGCCGGGAGUCCAACACAAGCUUUCAGCUAAGUUUUAUGGGCCCUUCCGAAUCCUGAAGCGGGUGGGGCAAGUAGCAUAUCGCUUGCAGCUACCGGAGUCUAGUAAAAUACAUCCGGUUUUUCAUGUUUCUCAAUUACGUCGAGUAGUGGGGGACCAUCCGGUGAUUGAUGAGCUGCCUGACGCAUUGGACCUACCGGAGCAGUCGCCGUUGGAGCCGGAAGAAGUGCUAGCAUGGCGGAAGGUGCCGAGGGGCAGAGCGGAGGAAGAACAGGUGUUGAUUCGAUGGUUGGGGCAGUCGGUGGAUGACGCUACUUGGCUGGAUGUGGGAACGUUUCGGAGCCAAUAUCCGGACUUCAACCUUGGGGACAAGGUUGUUUUGGAGGGGGAGGAAAUUGAUAUGGAGCGAGAUAGAGGAGAUGUGCAUGGGGUGCAUGGGCCGCGUCCUGUUAUCGUGUAUCAAAGGAGGUCGAAGAAGGCGUGAGUUUGGGCUGGAGGUCUACGUUCGUGGGCCUGGUUAUAUUAGAUAGAAUUAUGUUAUUUUAUUUAUAUAAUUGUAAUGGGUCGAGCAAUGCUCCUUUACGGGUUUUCUUUGUUGGUUCUUUCCCGUAUCGUAUUAAGAGAGUCGAACCAACCCUAGGGUGGGAGAAUUAUAUAAAUAGGGAUUCUUUCUUCAAUAAAGGUACGGAAGAAUUAUUUUAGCCUGGUGGCUGGCGGCCUAGGCCGAGGAUCGUGUUUCUUCUCUUUAUUUUCUAUUCUCAAAUUCCGC